UCAUGCAGAAGUGAAAUUCAGUCACCAGAUGCACCGUAAGGAUGUCAAAAGCUGACCUGGACACACGUCUACCAGGCAGUGAACUGACACCAUUGAUCCAUUUGGCCGAAAAUGAAGUCCAUGAACAAAAGCUGGCUGUACCGGGCUGCACACCAAGGUUUGCGGUUUAGCUCCACUAUCUCUGAUUUCCGUCAUGCAUGCGAAGAGGAAUGCCUGUGAUUGAAGAAGGCAAGAAGGUCUUGUGGCUAAGGUGUCCUUUUCAUGAAGAGUGAGGCAAGAAAACACAUCCUUCUAAAGCACCUAAGGCCAGGAUCAACUUCUGUACACAGGCAUAGACACACCGUUUCCUUUGUAUUCAACAGGAGCUGCUUAUACAUCUAAAGAUAGCCCCUAGGCUCUACAAGUUUGAAAACUUCCCAGCCAAGGAGUGAAUGUUUCUCUCCUCUAGUUUUUAUCAUUCACUGACUAUCCUCCAAAUACAUCCUUUGUUAAUUUGAAAGCCUUGAGGGAAGGCCUGGGAGCAAUCCAUGUUUCUGGAAUGCGUUGAUGAUAACUUGCUUCUCCAUGUGACAGAGGAGCCAACCAGAAGUGCAGUGCUGGACCUUGUUCUCACCAGCAAGGAAAGACUGGAGGUGAAUGUGAAGCUCAAGGGCAGCCUUGGCUGCAGUGGUCAUGAAAUGGUGGAGUUCAUUAUCACAGCUUUGGUGGAUAAGGGAAGAGCAACUGACAUCAUGUAACUGGACUUGUGAAAAGCGUUUAGCACUGUCACACAUGACAUCCUUGUGUCUAAACUGGAGAGACAUGGUUUUGACUAGCAGCUGGAUAAGAAAUUAGCUGGAUGGUUGCCCUCAAAGAGUUGCCAUCAGCAGCUCGAUAUCCAAGUCAGUAUUGGGACUGGUGCUGUUUAACAUCUUUGUUGGCGACAUGGACAGCAGGACGUCCCCAGUCUUCUGCACAUCUCAGAUCCUAUUCUGAGGUAUGUAAUUCUUCCUAUAUACAUACAAUGUUCCUAGUUUGGAUGUCAUAUAGCCCAUAGGUGAUGGGGGUGACUGGAGCUGACGAAGGAAUGGGUGUUGCUUUGAUAAGUCUCUCAAAACAGAAUGAUCAUUGUCAUUAAUAUACCGCUGUGGAUAGUAUGACUCUGUACAAGUCUGCACUACUGUGGGAUUGAAGACAUAGACUAGAUUUUCAAUCUUACUACGAUAAUGUGUGUUUCAAUGUGCUUUAGUACUUCCAAAAGUUUGCCAUCAUUUCCUACCUGGGCAGUCUUUUCUUAUUCUCUUGCUAUCUAUAUGACAGUAAAAUAAAUAGUCCACUGGAAGUAUGGAAAGGAAAUUCUAGACUUAAAAUAUGGAAUAAAUAUUUUUUAUUUAAGG